rnacentral:rRNA from 1 species
UACGUAGGUGGCAAGCGUUUGUCCGGAAUUAUUGGGCGUAAAGCGCGCGCAGGCGGCCUCUUAAGUCUGAUGUGAAAGCCCACGGCUCAACCGUGGAGGGUCAUUGGAAACUGGGGGACUUGAGUACAGAAGAGAAGAGUGGAAUUCCACGUGUAGCGGUGAAAUGCGUAGAGAUGUGGAGGAACACCAGUGGCGAAGGCGACUCUUUGGUCUGUAACUGACGCUGAGGCGCGAAAGCGUGGGGAGCAAACAGG